rnacentral:rRNA from 1 species
GAUGAACGCUGGCGGCGUGCUUAACACAUGCAAGUCGAACGGAAAGGCUCCUGCUUGCAGGGGUACUCGAGUGGCGAACGGGUGAGUAACACGUGGGUGAUCUGCCCUGCACUUCGGGAUAAGCCUGGGAAACUGGGUCUAAUACCGGAUAGGACGAUGGUUUGGAUGCCAUUGUGGAAAGUUUUUCGGUGUGGGAUGAGCUCGCGGCCUAUCAGCUUGUUGGUGGGGUAAUGGCCUACCAAGGCGUCGACGGGUAGCCGGCCUGAGAGGGUGUGCGGCCACAUUGGGACUGAGAUACGGCCCAGACUCCUACGGGAGGCAGCAGUGGGGAAUAUUGCACAAUGGGCGGAAGCCUGAUGCAGCGACGCCGCGUGGGGGAUGACGGCCUUCGGGUUGUAAACUCCUUUCGCUAGGGACGAAGCGCAAGUGACGGUACCUGGAGAAGAAGCACCGGCUAACUACGUG